CCACUGUUUCCAUCAAUUUCAAGCCACCGCCACAAAAUUUCUCCACUUCCGGACCAUUUUGUCCUCUAAUUCGGAGUCCGUUCGUAAAAUAGCCAUAACUUUCACAUACGAACAACGAUUUGGACGUUCCAUAUAUCAAAAUCAAUCAGAAAAAAAAUUCAGAUCUAUCUAUCCCCGCUGUCCCCGCUGAGGAUGGGCUCGACAAUUUUAGAAUCCUCAAAUUCGCCACUGAAGUUUAAGUUUCACCUCCUGAAGUUUUUUCACAUUUUUCGCAAUCUUCAUAAAAUUCUACAGGCCACGUUUGUCACUUAUUUAAGGUCAAAUUUUCUAUGGUUACUUCCGUAGUGCUCCUAAGUAAAACAAAAAUAUCAAAAAAAUAAAAAGAACUGCAGGGUUUUGGAUCGUGUUGUUUGGAAGCCGGAUCGAUUUGUGUCUCGUUUCCACCAAAUCGAAAGUUAUCAGAACCUUUUGGAAGAUCGGGCCACCCUUGUUCUCAUCAAGUGGUAAUCAAAGCUACUGGUAUACCGUUAGGUUCACAUCUACCCUUAGUUUCGAGUGUUCUUGUGUUCGUCCCAUAAGUCCAGCCUUUGCAUGUUUCAGUUUCAGAGUCUGUAGUGUUGAGUUUGUGUUCUGGUCGAGGUCUUGUUAAUGGUUAGGUCUUGUUAAAGUCCAGAUCAUGUGUUUUUUCCAACUGUUUCCAUCAAUUUCUAGCCACCGCCGCAAAUUUUUCCCACUUAUAGACUGUUCUGUCCUCUAAUUCGGAGUCCAUUCUUAAAACAGCCAUAACUUUCGCAUACGAGCUCUAAUUUCGACGUUCCAUAUAUCAAAAUUGAUCAGAAAAAAAUUUCAGAUCUGUCUGUCCCCACUGUUCACGGGUUCGACAAUUUUAGAAUCCCCAAUUUUGCCUCUGAAGUUUGAGUUUUCACCUCCUGAAGUUUUUUCACAUUUUUUGCAAUGUUCAUAAAAUUCCACAGGCCACGUUUUUCACUUGUUUAAGCUUAAAUUUUCUAUGGUUACUUCUAUAGUGCUCCUAAGUAAAAGAAAAAUAUCAAAAAAACAAAAAGAAUUGCGGGGUUUUAGAUCGUGUUGUUCGGAAGCCGGAUCGAUUUGUGUAUAGUUUCCACCAAAUCUAGAGUUACCAGAACCUUUGAGAAGAUCGGGCCACAGUUGUUCUCAUCAAGUGGUAAUCAAAGCUUUAGGUAUACCGUUAGGUUCACAUCUACCCUUAGUUCGAGUGUUCUUGUGUUUGUUCCAUAAGUCCAGCGUUUGCAUAUUUCAGUUUAGAGUCCGUAUUGUUGAGUUUGUGUACUGGUCGAGGUCUUUUGCCAGUUAGGUCUUGUUAGAGUCCAGUUCGUGUGUUUUCCCCACCGUUUCUAUCAAUUUCAAGCCAUCGCCGCAAAUUUUUCCCACUUCCAGACCAUUUUGUCCUCUAAUUCGGAGUCUGUUCGUAAAACAGUCAUAACUUUCGCAUACAAACAACGAUUUCGACGUUCCAUAUAUCAAAAUUGAUCAGAAAAAAUUUUUGGAUCUGUCUGUCCCCAAUCUAGGCGGGUUCGACAAUUUUAGAAUCCCCAAAUUCGCCUCUAAAUUUCGAGUUUUCACCUCCUGAUGUUUUUUUGCCUAUUUUUUGCAAUCUUCAAAAAAUUCCACAGGCCACGUCUUUCACUUGUUUACGCUCAAAUUUUCUGCGGUUACUUCUGUAGUGCUCCUAAGUAAAAGAAAAAUAUAAAAAAAAUAAAAAGAAUUGCAGGGUUUUGGAUCGUGUUGUUCGGAAAUCGGAUCGAUUUGUGUCUCGUUUCCACCAAAUCGAGAGUUACAUGAACCUUUUAGAAGAUUGGGCCACCCUUGUUCUCAUCAAGUGGUAAUCAAAGCUUCUGGUAUACCGUUAGGUUCACAUCUAUCCUUAGUUUUGAGUGUUCUUGUGUUCGUCCCAUAAGUCUAGCCUUUGCACAUUUCAGUUUCACAGUUCGUAGUGUUGAGUUUGUGUCCUAGUCGAAAUCUUGUAGCUGGUUAGGUCUUGUUAGAGUCCAGUUCGUGUGUUUUUCUCCACCGUUUCUAUCAAUUUCUAGCCACCGCCGCAAUUUUUUCCCACUUCGAUACCGUUUUGUCCUCUAAUUCGUAGUCCGUUUGUAAAACAGCCACAACUUUCGUAUAUGAACUCCGAUUUCGAUGUUCCAUCUAUCAAAAUCGAUGAGAAAAAAAUUUCGAAUGUGUCUGUCCCCAUUGUAUGCGGGUUCAACAAUUUUAGAAUCCCCAAAUUUGCCUCUGAAGUUUGAGUUUUCACCUUCUGAAGUUUUUUUCACAUUUUUGCAAUCUUCAUAAAAUUCCACAGGCCACGUCUUUCACUUGUUUAAGCUCAAAUUUCUGUGGUUACUUCUGUAGUGCUCCUAAGUAAAAGAAAAAUAUCACAAAAAUAAAAAGAAUUGUAGGAUUUUGGAUCAUGUUGUUCGGAAGCCGAAUCGAUUUGUGUCUCGUUUCCACCAAAUCGAGAG
rnacentral:lncRNA from 1 species